UCAUAUUUUAUUUGGUUGAUAAAUUUGAUAAACUACAGCAUUCCACAAGAUACUAAAUCAGGCUUAGAUGUUUAAUUAUUGACCCCAUUUUAUGCUGUUUUAUUUUCCAUGUGUGGGCAAAAAAUAGUGGUGUUCCAAAUUGCCAUAACAACAGUCUGCACUCCUUAAAACAAGAUACGCUGUGUGUCAAAGUAAAACUGUUGCCAUGGUAACCAGUUGAAUAUUUAAAGUGCAGCAUCCUGGUUUAAUCAGUCAAAUUGCUUCUUUUCCAGAUAUCAACUACAUCGGCACUCUUACAGCAGAAACAGUGAAAAAGGGAAAAACAUUGAAGUUAAUAAAAAAUAAUUUCUGUCCUGUAUGUUCCCUUUCUGGUUUUGUUUCAGAAGAGUCACUUAAACUGCUUCUUUCUAACAAGAGUGCAAAUACUGGAUCCUGUCUUUUAUCCUAGAAUUCUCAGAAAUUCAUCUCAUCUGUUCAAGAUAUACAUUCCCUUAACAGCUACAACUUUCAGUCCAAACAGAGCCUGACCUGGGACUGCUGCAGUGAGUAAUAUUCUUGUGGCAUGCGUAAGAAGAUUUCUGCUGUAUCAUUGCACUGUUUCAUGAUGCAGUGCACACACAGAGGAGGACCCGACUGCAGAGAGAUCGCUGCCACGUGCCGGAUCUACAGAUGCAUUGGGAACGCCUGCCUGUGUAAACACAGAUGCUAUUUUGCAAAAGUUUCUAGAUAGCAGCUGAAUGAUGACUCAGACAUUUUUUGUCACUGCAGAGCUGCACAUGGUCUUGUGUACAGCAUCGUGAAAGACAUUAGAGCAAACGUACCAAUGAAGAGCUCUUUACUCUGGAAUUUUUGUGCACCCCACAUUUUUGCAAUAAUGCUCUCUGCAAUAAGCCAUAAUGUUCUUCUGUGACACGACAUGCAUAGCAAUAAAAAGAGAUAACUGGCAUCCUUAUGUUUAAGU
rnacentral:lncRNA from 1 species